rnacentral:lncRNA from 1 species
GGCACCUGUAAUCCCAGCUACUCGGGAGGCUAAGGUAGGAGAAUCGCUUAAACCAGGGAGUUGGAAGUUGCAGUGAACCAAGAUCGCGCCACUGCACUCCAGCCUGGGCAACAAGAGUGAGACUUUGUCUCAAUUAAAAAAAAAAAUCCUUUAUAAUAAACUGGUAAAUGUAAGUAAGCAUUCCCCUGAGCUGUGAGCCACUCUAGCAAAUUAAUCAAACCCAAGAAGAGCGACAUGAAAACCCUGAUUUAUAGCCAGUCCGUCAGAAGCACAGGUAAAACAUCCUGGGGCUUGCAAUUGGCAUUUGUUGGCAUCAAAAGUUGGGGGCAGUCUUGUGGGACUGAGCCUUCAACCUGUGGGAUCUAAUGCUUUCUCCAAGUAGAUACUGUCUGAAUUGAACUGGAGGAUACCCAGCUGGUGUCUGCUGCAGAAUUGAUUGAUUGCUUGAUGUGUAGGGGGAAAAAAUCCACAUAUGCUGGUGUUGCAAGCAUGUUAUGAGGGUACAGUAGGAAAAACUAAGUUUGUUUUUCUGCUCAUACAUACCCUGACAAAGCCCAAGCCUCGUGGAAGGCUACAUGUAAACACUCUGGUCAGCAGCUCCAGAGCACAGCCCUUGAGUCAUCCCAGCCCAGCUACCAGAUGUUUAAGUGAAGAACCUGUAGACGAUUCCAACUGUAAGACAUUUGAGUCACCCUUUAUUUUGUCCCACUGAACCUAUAGCUUGGGUCACCCCAAAAGUGGAGGCAAGAAUGUUCCCACAAAGUGCUCCAAACCAUCUCAAGAUGGGGCUGAUUGGGAUUCACAAGAAAGAAGCACAAAAUGCCAGGGUGAUCAGUCCAAAGCAAUUAUUAGUGGAACUUAGAUGCAGAGUGCUGCCUCAUAUCCUCAUGACAGAGGGCAAGAGAAAAAGAAUGUUCUACCCGGGUAUGUCUGCAGCAAAGGGGUCAAAGCAUAGAGUUUACAUGAGGGUUUUAGGAAUUUGACUCAGUGCUGGGGCUGGUUUCUUUCUAGUAAACCUAAUUACCUUUAUCAGGGCCUGGGGACAUUCAAGGCCACAGUUUGAAUUCAAGCUUGCUGGGAAAAACAUACAGCUGGCAGAAUCACAGAGUGGUCAAGACACUCUGAUUUUUGGUCAGGACACAGAAAGUGGGGGAAACUGGGAGACCCUAUACCUUCAGUCUUCCUAGAUGAGGGCCCAGCAUCAUGGAGCUGAAACAAGCAUCCCUGCUGUGCUCUGUUUGAAUUCCUUACUCACAAAAGCAUAAUAAAAUGGUAGUUCAUUUAUAUCACAAAUGUUGGGGGUGGUUUGUUAUGCCAAAAUAGAUAACUGGAACACCCCAUCCCAAUCCUCUAAAGUUCCCAGGAACUCAUUGUCUUAGACUCCAUAAUUUUCAGGGAUACAUAUCACUAAGCAUGCGGAUACAUUCAUGAAAAUGAAAAUUCAGGCCGGGUGCAGUGGCUUACGCCUGUAGUCCCAGCACUUUGGGAGGCUGAGGCGGGUGGAUCAUUCAAGGUCAGGAGUUCAAGACCAGCUUGGCCAACAUGGUGAGACCCUGUCUCUACUAAAAAUAUAAAAAUCAGCCGGUCAUGGUGGCGCAUGCCUGUAAUCCCAGCUACUUGGGAGGCCGAGGGGCGAGAAUCACUUGAACCUGGGAGGCAGAGGUUGCAAUGAGUCGAGAUCGCACCGCUACACUCCAGCCUGGGUAACAAAAUGAGACCCCAUCUCAAAAAGAAAAGAAAAGAAAAUGAUAGGAUUCGUAGCCUAUACUAGACAACUUUCAUAGUUUACAGACUAUGACUCUGCUACACUUUAAAGAGUGAACUAGGCCAGGCACAGUGGCUCAUGCUUGUAAUCCCAG